GAUGAACGCUGGCGGCGUGCCUAAUACAUGCAAGUCGAGCGAACGGACGAGAAGCUUGCUUCUCUGAUGUUAGCGGCGGACGGGUGAGUAACACGUGGAUAACCUACCUAUAAGACUGGGAUAACUUCGGGAAACCGUAGCUAAUACCGGAUAAUAUUUUGAACCGCAUGGUUCAAAAGUGAAAGACGGUCUUGCUGUCACUUAUAGAUGGAUCCGCGCUGCAUUAGCUAGUUGGUAAGGUAACGGCUUACCAAGGCAACGAUGCAUAGCCGACCUGAGAGGGUGAUCGGCCACACUGGAAAUGAGACACGGUCCAGACUCCUACGGGAGGCAGCAGUAGGGAAUCUUCCGCAAUGGGCGAAAGCCUGACGGAGCAACGCCGCGUGAGUGAUGAAGGUCUUCGGAUCGUAAAACUCUGUUAUUAGGGAAGAACAUAUGUGUAAGUAACUGUGCACAUCUUGACGGUACCUAAUCAGAAAGCCACGGCUAACUACGUG
rnacentral:rRNA from 1 species